rnacentral:lncRNA from 1 species
UUGGCUCAUUGAUUUUACUGGUUGGUCAAUGGCUAAUAAUCCCCCCAUGAAAACAACACGCGACAUAAUCUACAUUCUACAGAAUCAUUACCCCGAAAGACUCGCUUUCUCCUUUCUCUACAAUCCUCCAAGGCUCUUUAAAGCAGGCUACAAGGUAUGAAAAAGAGUCACCAUUACAUAAUAUUGUCUUUUUGUUUAAAAGAAGUCCCAAAAAAAAACUCUUUAAAGAGUCAAGUUAUUCAUUACCUACUCUUCUCCCUUUAGGCUGUUAAGUACUUCUUGGACCCAAGAACAGCUCAAAAGGUGAACUUUGUGUACCCAAAAGAUAAAACAAGUGAUGA